CGGAGGGUGCGAGCGUUGUCCGGAAUCACUGGGCGUAAAGGGCGCGUAGGUGGCUUCUCAAGCGCGCGGUGAAAGCCCGGGGCUCAACCCCGGGUCGGCCGUGCGGACUGGGAGGCUCGAGCACUGUAGGGGCGGGUGGAAUUCCGGGUGUAGCGGUGGAAUGCGUAGAGAUCCGGAAGAACACCGGUGGCGAAGGCGGCCCGCUGGGCAGGAAGGCUCGCAAGAGCCGGCUGACACUGAGGCGCGACAGCGUGGGGAGCAAACAGGAUUAGAUACCCUGGUAGUCCACGCCGUAAACGAUGGGCACUAGGUGCUUGGGGGAGCGACCCCCCGGGUGCCGGCGCUAACGCACUAAGUGCCCCGCCUGGGGAGUACGGCCGCAAGGCUG
rnacentral:rRNA from 1 species